UGGGGAAUUUUGGGCAAUGGCCGAAAGGCUGACCCAGCGACGCCGCGUGUGGGAGGAAGCUCUUCGGAGUGUAAACCACUGUCGGAGGGGACGAAAGCGGAGGGCGUGAAUAGCGCUCUCCAGUGACGGUACCCUCAAAGGAAGCACCGGCUAACUCUGUGCCAGCAGCCGCGGUAAUACAGAGGGUGCAAGCGUUGUUCGGAAUUACUGGGCGUAAAGCGCGCGCAGGCGGAACGUCAAGUCGGAAGUGAAAUCUCGCCGCUCAACGGCGGGGCUGCUUUCGAUACUGUCGCUCUAGGGACCGGUAGAGGCUGGUAGAAUUGCAGGUGUAGCGGUGGAAUGCGUAGAGAUCUGCAAGAAUACCCGUGGCGAAGGCGGCCAGCUGGGCCGGGUCCGACGCUGAGGCGCGAAAGCGUGGGGAGCAAACAGG
rnacentral:rRNA from 1 species